rnacentral:lncRNA from 1 species
GUGAUCUACCUGCCUCAGCCUCCCAAAGUGCUGGGAUUACAGGCGUAAGCCACCGCGCCCGGCCACCUCACAGGUUUUAACGUGCAUCUACAUCACCCUGGGAUCUUGUGUCAAUGCAGGUCCUGAUUCAGUAGGUUCAGGAGGAGCCUGAUUCUGCUCGUCCAAGCUGCCAGGGUCUGAUUUCCUUUGUGUGAGCACUCCGCCACUAGGGGUUCUUUGGCUGGCAAGAGAAACUAGAGAAGUUUUGCUUCCAGGAGGGGAGAGGUGGGCAGACUAUACCCAUGGGGCCCAAACCGGCCUGCGUCUGCACCGUCCCUAGAAAUACGCAGCAGCACUUUUCCUCCCCUCCCUGAGCAAGCCAGGGAGCCCUGUGGCUUCCAGGGCAUUUGCCCUUGUGGUCACCUAAGGCCGAGGCAGCGGCGUACCAACGGGUGGCAGUGGGAGCCCCUCCUUGGUGGGGAGCAGUAUUGUAUCACUGACAUGCCUUAAAAUUGCCGAUGUGUGAUGCUAAUGAAAAUGAACUGACUUUUAUUAUUGGUUUUAUUGUUAUGGUCAUUAUUUUAAUGAAUGAAUAACAAUUAUUGUUUCAAUUUUUUUUUUUUUGA